rnacentral:rRNA from 1 species
UGCGUAGGUGGUAUGGCAAGUCAGAAGUGAAAACCCAGGGCUUAACUCUGGGACUGCUUUUGAAACUGUCAGACUAGAGUGCAGGAGAGGUAAGCGGAAUUCCUAGUGUAGCGGUGAAAUGCGUAGAUAUUAGGAGGAACAUCAGUGGCGAAGGCGGCUUACUGAACUGAAACUGACACUGAGGCACGAAAGCGUGGGAGCAAACA